UCCCGAGUGCUUGCACUCGAUUGGCAAGAGGAGUGUCGGACGGCUGAGUAGCACGUGGGUAACCUACCCAUCAGAGGGGGAUAACACUUGGAAACAGGUGCUAAUACCGCAUAACAGUUUAUGCCGCAUGGCAUAAUAGUGAUGGGUGCUUUCGGGUGUCGCUGAUGGAUGGACCCGCGGUGCAUUAGCUAGUUGGUGAGGUAACGGCUCACCAAGGCCACAAUGCAUAGCCGACCUGAGAGGGUGAUCGGUCACACUGGGACUGAGACACUGCCCAAACUCCUACGGGAGGCACCACUAGGGAGUCUUCGGCAAUGGACGAAAGUCUGACCGAGCAACGCCGCGUGAGUGAAGAAGGUUUUCUGAUCGUAAAACUCUGAUGUUAGAGAAGAACAAGGACGUUAGUAACUGAACGUCCCCUGACGGUAUCUAACCAGAAAGCCACGGCUAACUACGUGCCAGCAGCCGCGGUAAUACGUAUGUGGCAAGCGUUGUCCGGAUUUAUUGGGCGUAAAGCGAGCGCAAGCGGUUUCUUAAGUCUGAUGUGAAAGCCCCCGGCUCAACCGGGGAGGGUCAUUGGAAACUGGGAGACUUGAGUGCAGAAGAUGAGAU
rnacentral:rRNA from 1 species